GUCCCUGUAACGCAAUGGGUAGCGCGUUGAAAUUCUUUUCCAACGGUCGUGGGUUCAAAUCCUAUCUGGGAUG